rnacentral:rRNA from 1 species
GGUUAAGCGACUAAGCGUACACGGUGGAUGCCCUGGCAGUCAGAGGCGAUGAAGGACGUGCUAAUCUGCGAAAAGCGUCGGUAAGGUGAUAUGAACCGUUAUAACCGGCGAUGUCCGAAUGGGGAAACCCAGUGCAAUUCGUUGCACUAUCGUUAACUGAAUACAUAGGUUAACGAGGCGAACCGGGGGAACUGAAACAUCUAAGUACCCCGAGGAAAAGAAAUCAACCGAGAUUCCCCCAGUAGCGGCGAGCGAACGGGGAGCAGCCCAGAGUCUGAAUCAGCUUGUGUGUUAGUGGAACGGUCUGGAAAGUCCGACGGUACAGGGUGAUAGUCCCGUACACCAAAAUGCACAGGUUGUGAACUCGAAGAGUAGGGCGGGACACGUGGUAUCCUGUCUGAAUAUGGGGGGACCAUCCUCCAAGGCUAAAUACUCCUGACUGACCGAUAGUGAACCAGUACCGUGAGGGAAAGGCGAAAAGAACCCCGGCGAGGGGAGUGAAAAAGAACCUGAAACCGUGUACGUACAAGCAGUGGGAGCACCUUCGGGUGUGACUGCGUACCUUUUGUAUAAUGGGUCAGCGACUUAUAUUCUGUAGCAAGGUUAACCGUAUAGGGGAGCCGCAGGGAAACCGAGUCUUAACUGGGCGUUAAGUUGCAGGGUAUAGACCCGAAACCCGGUGAUCUAGCCAUGGGCAGGUUGAAGGUUGGGUAACACUAACUGGAGGACCGAACCGACUAAUGUUGAAAAAUUAGCGGAUGACUUGUGGCUGGGGGUGAAAGGCCAAUCAAACCGGGAGAUAGCUGGUUCUCCCCGAAAGCUAUUUAGGUAGCGCCUCGUGAAUUCAUCUUCGGGGGUAGAGCACUGUUUCGGCUAGGGGGUCAUCCCGACUUACCAACCCGAUGCAAACUACGAAUACCGAAGAAUGUUAUCACGGGAGACACACGGCGGGUGCUAACGUCCGUCGUGAAGAGGGAAACAACCCAGACCGCCAGCUAAGGUCCCAAAGUCAUGGUUAAGUGGGAAACGAUGUGGGAAGGCACAGACAGCCAGGAUGUUGGCUUAGAAGCAGCCAUCAUUUAAAGAAAGCGUAAUAGCUCACUGGUCGAGUCGGCCUGCGCGGAAGAUGUAACGGGGCUAAACCAUGCACCGAAGCUGCGGCAGCGACACUAUGUGUUGUUGGGUAGGGGAGCGUUCUGUAAGCCUGCGAAGGUGACCUGUGAGGGUUGCUGGAGGUAUCAGAAGUGCGAAUGCUGACAUAAGUAACGAUAAAGCGGGUGAAAAGCCCGCUCGCCGGAAGACCAAGGGUUCCUGUCCAACGUUAAUCGGGGCAGGGUGAGUCGACCCCUAAGGCGAGGCCGAAAGGCGUAGUCGAUGGGAAACAGGUUAAUAUUCCUGUACUUGGUGUUACUGCGAAGGGGGGACGGAGAAGGCUAUGUUAGCCGGGCGACGGUUGUCCCGGUUUAAGCAUGUAGGCUGAUUGUCCAGGCAAAUCCGGAUAAUCAAGGCUGAGGUGUGAUGACGAGGCACUACGGUGCUGAAGUAACAAAUGCCCUGCUUCCAGGAAAAGCCUCUAAGCAUCAGGUAACAUCAAAUCGUACCCCAAACCGACACAGGUGGUCAGGUAGAGAAUACCAAGGCGCUUGAGAGAACUCGGGUGAAGGAACUAGGCAAAAUGGUGCCGUAACUUCGGGAGAAGGCACGCUGGUGUGUAGGUGAAGCCCCUGCGGGUGGAGCUGAGACCAGUCGAAGAUACCAGCUGGCUGCAACUGUUUAUUAAAAACACAGCACUGUGCAAACACGAAAGUGGACGUAUACGGUGUGACGCCUGCCCGGUGCCGGAAGGUUAAUUGAUGGGGUUAUCCGUAAGGAGAAGCUCUUGAUCGAAGCCCCGGUAAACGGCGGCCGUAACUAUAACGGUCCUAAGGUAGCGAAAUUCCUUGUCGGGUAAGUUCCGACCUGCACGAAUGGCGUAAUGAUGGCCAGGCUGUCUCCACCCGAGACUCAGUGAAAUUGAACUCGCUGUGAAGAUGCAGUGUACCCGCGGCAAGACGGAAAGACCCCGUGAACCUUUACUAUAGCUUGACACUGAACAUUGAGCCUUGAUGUGUAGGAUAGGUGGGAGGCUUUGAAGCGUGGACGCCAGUCUGCGUGGAGCCAACCUUGAAAUACCACCCUUUAAUGUUUGAUGUUCUAACGUUGGCCCCUGACCGGGGUUGCGGACAGUGUCUGGUGGGUAGUUUGACUGGGGCGGUCUCCUCCCAAAGCGUAACGGAGGAGCACGAAGGUUAGCUAAUCCUGGUCGGACAUCAGGAGGUUAGUGCAAUGGCAUAAGCUAGCUUGACUGCGAGCGUGACGGCGCGAGCAGGUGCGAAAGCAGGUCAUAGUGAUCCGGUGGUUCUGAAUGGAAGGGCCAUCGCUCAACGGAUAAAAGGUACUCCGGGGAUAACAGGCUGAUACCGCCCAAGAGUUCAUAUCGACGGCGGUGUUUGGCACCUCGAUGUCGGCUCAUCACAUCCUGGGGCUGAAGUAGGUCCCAAGGGUAUGGCUGUUCGCCAUUUAAAGUGGUACGCGAGCUGGGUUUAGAACGUCGUGAGACAGUUCGGUCCCUAUCUGCCGUGGGCGCUGGAGAAUUGAGGGGGGCUGCUCCUAGUACGAGAGGACCGGAGUGGACGCAUCACUGGUGUUCGGGUUGUCAUGCCAAUGGCACUGCCCGGUAGCUAAAUGCGGAAGAGAUAAGUGCUGAAAGCAUCUAAGCACGAAACUUGCCCCGAGAUGAGUUCUCCCUGAGACUUUAAGUCUCCUGAAGGAACGUUAAAGACGAUGACGUUGAUAGGCCGGGUGUGUAAGCGCAGCGAUGCGUUGAGCUAACCGGUACUAAUGAACCGUGAGGCUUAACCUU